UACGUAGGGGGCAAGCGUUGUCCGGAUUUAUUGGGUUUAAAGGGUGCGUAGGCGGCCUAUUAAGUCAGGGGUGAAAGACGGUAGCUCAACUAUCGCAGUGCCUUUGAUACUGAUGGGCUUGAAUACACUUGAGGUAGGCGGAAUGUGACAAGUAGCGGUGAAAUGCAUAGAUAUGUCACAGAACACCAAUUGCGAAGGCAGCUUACUAAAGUGUGAUUGACGCUGAGGCACGAAAGCGUGGGGAUCAAACAGG
rnacentral:rRNA from 1 species